ACAGCUAGAGGAGGUGACAGAUUGGGAGGCAGGCAAAAGGAACCAGGCGGUUCUCCUUCCAUGGUUGGGCCUCGACCUGCCACAUCUUCCUCCUCCCAGUCCGGCGAAGAGGAGUGGCGGAUCCGCUUCCUCAAGCGAGCAGGGGCGCACGGGGAUUCGGAUCUCGUUGCGAGAGGCCGCCACCAUAGAAGUAGGUCCGCGGUGCCGUCACUCUGCUCAAGCUACUGAUUCAUCCCGUGCGGCGGCAGAAGGAGGUCCUGCAGCCUGCUUCCGUACUACUCCUUGCCGUGUGGGUCGAAAUCUCCAGCGGUGCUGUCGUCUGGGUGAGCCCCCCGUCACGGCUGAGACCAGCUCGCCGCCGUCGGCCAUGCCACUCUUGCCGGCGCACGGAGCACCUCCCCUCCAAGCACAGGUCGUUACAACACCGAUUAUGGAUAUGGAUUCAUCCAGCUGCGCUGGAUGAAGGGAUGGUUGGAAUAAGAAUUGCAUGUGACAAACAAGUGCUUCCUCUAGAUGGGAUUCCAAAUGUCAGGUGGUUUGGUGUAGAGAGGGUGAUUACAAUGUUUUGGUGAUGGACCCACUGAGGCCAAGCCUUGAGCAUCUUUUCGUUUAGUUUUAUCUUUGUUUGCUGAGAUAAGAGAGAUCGUACUCAUUCCAAUUCCGGAUAAUUUGUCUGCAUAGCCUUCGAAUGGCACAUACUGACCUCAGACUGGAGAAUGUUCAUGUAAGACCAGUAGACAAACGUUGUCAAAGAAAGAUUUCUGAUUCUCAGAUAAUUAUACUAUUGAGAUGUUCACAAAGGGCGUCCCUAAUGCAAGGAUGCACUUGAAUACUCUUCAGGAGAGCAGGAAAAAUUUGCAUAUUACCUAAAUAGAGUUUCCAUAUUAUUUAUUUAUUUGUUUUGCUUUUGUGCAGCAAUUAGAUUUUCCGACACUAAUAUUGUUGUUUGUUGCAGACAUGGUUGUCACACAUGCGUCCUAUCCCAAUGGCUCAAAUUGUUGGUCCUCGCAUGGCAAUGUCCCUGCUUGUAUUCAUGGAGUUGGUCAGCAACUCUCUUAUGGCCAGCAACCUCCAACGUUUAUUAACCCUCUACAGACGAGCCUUCCAAAAUACGGGUCAUCUUGUCUGAUGGUCUCCUCUCCUGCCGUCGCCGCCGCCGGAGAAGCUCGCCUCCGCGCCCACAAGCCUCGGAUUCGGCGGGAUCCAGGACGAGGAGGGGUGGAUGAGACGGGGGAGGAGGAGGAGGAGAGCGUGGGGGCGUCCGGGGAGGAAUAUCCCCGCCGCCUCCUCCGCUCGUGACGCAGGGCCUCGGGCCAUGGGGGCAUUCGUUGCAGGAGCCUCGCCGCUGACCUCCCGUGCGCGGCACCCGGCCCUGGCAGCGCCAAUCUCCCCUUCACACACAGAUCGGGUCGUAGUCGGAGCACAACUAAGGUUGGCGCUGCUCAAGUGUUUGCAGCGGGAUCCUCUUCUACAACGGCGAUGACAAGGACUCCGCUCCCAGUUCAGUCUAUCAACUACACACACAACUCCUGGACCUGCCUUCAGAUUUAAGGCAAGCGCUUCAGUACUUCCUUGUGUUGCAUAGUCACUAGACUGGGUUUUCUUUGAUUCUAUGAUUGGUUUGUUUUCAUCGCAAUGUAUGUGUCCACACAAUCAAAAGGAUCAAGAUAGCUUCACAUAGAUUAGUUAAUUGGCCAGGUACAUACGAAGUUGUGAAUCUAAACAGGACGCACCUACAUCACCACACCAAUAUGUUGUGUGUAACACGACCAUUCCUAACAUACCAUGGUUUGCAUGCUGGAUAACCGAUGUGUGUUAAGAUGAGCAGCAGCACGCUCACACAUUAUCUUUGCCGUUUAAAUAACCAUAUUUGUUCUAUGAAGUUUCUGUUAUAUAUCUCUAUGUCCAUGUACUUCUCAAAAGUUACCUUGGAUGAGAAGCAUUGUUUUGCUGGUCUUUGUGAAGACAAGAUAGGAAGAUCCAUAUUCUUGAUCAAUCAAAUAUGGUCAAAACUGUAGUUUUUUCACCAGUGUAAUCUUAUUAAUAACUUCGACCAAAAGUCCUACAAUCUCAUUAGUAAUCAGGUGUGGACAAAUAUGUUUUUAGUCCAGUUUGAUCUAAUAUAUCCUAUUGAAGCGUACUUUGACCAAACGUCCUACAAUCUCAUUAGUAAUUAAUCAGGUGUGGACAAAUAUGUUUUUAAUCCAGUUUGAUAUGAUAUUUUCAAUUGAAGCAACAAAACCAUCGUAUUUGGCUUUCCGUAAGCACCAAGUUAGCAAUAAUAGAGUUGAUUAGUAGCUGAUACAGUGCUAUGAAUUUUUAUUAUAGUCGUCGUUGGUAUCAAACUAUCAAAUCAGUUUAUACAGUAGAAACUUGGACAGUGCUAAGAUGGAUUAGCACGUACAGUUGUAAACUACAGAAAAAAGAUUAUUUGUCCAUUAGUCGAUACCGAAUUUGAUCAUAUAUAUUGUUCUAUUGAGCUUAUUAUUGUAAAGUCACCAACAAGUUGAAUCAGCUAUAAGCCUCUAAGAAGGGUAUAGCCGCCUCUGCUUCCGCAUUACAUCUCCAUGUAAGUUUCUAAUGUACGUUCACAUAUAAUUUUGGUUGACAUUAUCUCUUCUGUGAAUUCUGCUUGCAUUUUUUCAGUUGAAACAGUAACCGAAUUUGAUAAGUAUGCAACGAUUUCUGCCCUGCAGCAUGAGUAAAAUGUUAUGAGUUAUCACUUCAGAUAAGUAACCACUAUAUUAUUUUCUCUGUGUAAUUGACCUGUACACAUGUUGUCGCUCUGCUUGAACCAUCGAUCUCUAUAUGUAUUUGAGCUCCUCUCACAGGCUGACUUACCCGAAUGGCUACUUUUAUUGCCUUUCGACAUGCGCAAGUAUUUGAGUAGCAUGUGACUAAUCUUACAGCCCCCUCCCCUGAUGUUUGGGAUGAAUGUUGUAAAAUGUUUCACAAAUAGAUGAUGGAUUGAUGCAAUGUCUUACCCAAUACAAAAGAAAAUCACCCCGAUAGUCUGAAUGUCAAGCAUUUUAUGUUUCUGUUUAUGUUUACAGAACGUGGGAAGGGGGCAUGGCGCACUAUUUCACCUUCAGGAGAGAAUUGCAGUGUCUUAUUUUGUUCAUUUUUCUUGCACGAGUUG